rnacentral:other from 2 species
CAUCCCCUGGGUUGUUAGCCAGUUGAAAUGCUCUCGACCCUUUAUGUAACCACCAGGGGGUCUUUUUUCGACACUGUUGCGCGUGCCUGCUACGGCGGGAUGCCUGAUGUUCGUUAGGGACCACCGCCUUGAGCCAAAGGGUUCAAGGACUUUUCCGACAGCGGCAACUCGGGGGACUA